rnacentral:rRNA from 1 species
UUAAGUUAUUAAGGGCGCACGGUGGAUGCCUUGGCACUAGAAGCCGAUGAAGGACGUUACUAACGACGAUAUGCUUUGGGGAGCUGUAAGUAAGCUUUGAUCCAGAGAUUUCCGAAUGGGGAAACCCAGCAUGAGUUAUGUCAUGUUAUCGAUAUGUGAAUACAUAGCAUAUCAGAAGGCACACCCGGAGAACUGAAACAUCUUAGUACCCGGAGGAAGAGAAAGAAAAUUCGAUUCCCUUAGUAGCGGCGAGCGAAACGGGAAGAGCCCAAACCAACAAGCUUGCUUGUUGGGGUUGUAGGACACUCUAUACGGAGUUACAAAGGACGACAUUAGACGAAUCAUCUGGAAAGAUGAAUCAAAGAAGGUAAUAAUCCUGUAGUCGAAAAUGUUGUCUCUCUUGAGUGGAUCCUGAGUACGACGGAGCACGUGAAAUUCCGUUGGAAUCUGGGAGGACCAUCUCCUAAGGCUAAAUACUCUCUAGUGACCGAUAGUGAACCAGUACCGUGAGGGAAAGGUGAAAAGCACCCCGGAAGGGGAGUGAAACAGAACCUGAAACCGUGUGCUUACAAGUAGUCAGAGCCCGUUAAUGGGUGAUGGCGUGCCUUUUGUAGAAUGAUCCGGCGAGUUACGAUUUGAUGCAAGGUUAAGCAGUAAAUGUGGAGCCGUAGCGAAAGCGAGUCUGAAUAGGGCGUUUAGUAUUUGGUCGUAGACCCGAAACCAGGUGAUCUACCCUUGGUCAGGUUGAAGUUCAGGUAACACUGAAUGGAGGACCGAACCGACUUACGUUGAAAAGUGAGCGGAUGAACUGAGGGUAGCGGAGAAAUUCCAAUCGAACCUGGAGAUAGCUGGUUCUCUCCGAAAUAGCUUUAGGGCUAGCCUCAAGUGAUGAUUAUUGGAGGUAGAGCACUGUUUGGACGAGGGGCCCCUCUCGGGUUACCGAAUUCAGACAAACUCCGAAUGCCAAUUAAUUUAACUUGGGAGUCAGAACAUGGGUGAUAAGGUCCGUGUUCGAAAGGGAAACAGCCCAGACCACCAGCUAAGGUCCCAAAAUAUAUGUUAAGUGGAAAAGGAUGUGGCGUUGCCCAGACAACUAGGAUGUUGGCUUAGAAGCAGCCAUCAUUUAAAGAGUGCGUAAUAGCUCACUAGUCGAGUGACACUGCGCCGAAAAUGUACCGGGGCUAAACAUAUUACCGAAGCUGUGGAUUGUCCUUUGGACAAUGGUAGGAGAGCGUUCUAAGGGCGUUGAAGCAUGAUCGUAAGGACAUGUGGAGCGCUUAGAAGUGAGAAUGCCGGUGUGAGUAGCGAAAGACGGGUGAGAAUCCCGUCCACCGAUUGACUAAGGUUUCCAGAGGAAGGCUCGUCCGCUCUGGGUUAGUCGGGUCCUAAGCUGAGGCCGACAGGCGUAGGCGAUGGAUAACAGGUUGAUAUUCCUGUACCACCUAUAAUCGUUUUAAUCGAUGGGGGGACGCAGUAGGAUAGGCGAAGCGUGCGAUUGGAUUGCACGUCUAAGCAGUAAGGCUGAGUAUUAGGCAAAUCCGGUACUCAUUAAGGCUGAGCUGUGAUGGGGAGAAGACAUUGUGUCUUCGAGUCGUUGAUUUCACACUGCCGAGAAAAGCCUCUAGAUAGAAAAUAGGUGCCCGUACCGCAAACCGACACAGGUAGUCAAGAUGAGAAUUCUAAGGUGAGCGAGCGAACUCUCGUUAAGGAACUCGGCAAAAUGACCCCGUAACUUCGGGAGAAGGGGUGCUCUUUAGGGUUAACGCCCAGAAGAGCCGCAGUGAAUAGGCCCAAGCGACUGUUUAUCAAAAACACAGGUCUCUGCUAAACCGUAAGGUGAUGUAUAGGGGCUGACGCCUGCCCGGUGCUGGAAGGUUAAGAGGAGUGGUUAGCUUCUGCGAAGCUACGAAUCGAAGCCCCAGUAAACGGCGGCCGUAACUAUAACGGUCCUAAGGUAGCGAAAUUCCUUGUCGGGUAAGUUCCGACCCGCACGAAAGGCGUAACGAUUUGGGCACUGUCUCAACGAGAGACUCGGUGAAAUCAUAGUACCUGUGAAGAUGCAGGUUACCCGCGACAGGACGGAAAGACCCCGUGGAGCUUUACUGUAGCCUGAUAUUGAAAUUCGGCACAGCUUGUACAGGAUAGGUAGGAGCCUUUGAAACGUGAGCGCUAGCUUACGUGGAGGCGCUGGUGGGAUACUACCCUAGCUGUGUUGGCUUUCUAACCCGCACCACUUAUCGUGGUGGGAGACAGUGUCAGGCGGGCAGUUUGACUGGGGCGGUCGCCUCCUAAAAGGUAACGGAGGCGCUCAAAGGUUCCCUCAGAAUGGUUGGAAAUCAUUCAUAGAGUGUAAAGGCAUAAGGGAGCUUGACUGCGAGACCUACAAGUCGAG